rnacentral:tRNA from 1 species
GCCUCCGUAGCUCAGGGGAUAGAGCAUCAGUUUCCGGUACUGAGGGUCGCAGGUUCGAAUCCUGUCGGGGGCGCGA